rnacentral:rRNA from 1 species
AAUCAACGCUGGCGGCGUGCCUCAGACAUGCAAGUCGAACGAUUAAAGCUCUCUUCGGAGAGUGUAUAGAGUGGCGCACGGGUGAGUAACACGUAGGUAAUCUACCUUCAAGUGGGGAAUAACGUCCGGAAACGGACGCUAAUACCGCAUAAUGCAGCGGCAUCGCAAGAUGACAGUUGUUAAAGAUUUAUCGCUUGAAGAGGAGCUUGCGGCAGAUUAGCUAGUUGGUAAGGUAAUGGCUUACCAAGGCUACGAUCUGUAACCGGUCUAAGAGGACGGUCGGUCACACUGACACUGAAUAACGGGUCAGACUCCUACGGGAGGCAGCAGUCGGGAAUUUUGGGCAAUGGGCGAAAGCCUGACCCAGCAACGCCGCGUGAAGGAUGAAGUAUUUCGGUAUGUAAACUUCGAAAGAAUGGGAAGAAUCAAUGACGGUACCAUUUAUAAGGUCCGGCUAACUACGUGCCAGCAGCCG